rnacentral:lncRNA from 1 species
UGCAAAAUCAUCUUCACGUCUUUUCCGCAUAGUGAUAGUUCCGUCAAGUUGGGUAAGAUCUGAUCAUCAUCAAUCAUAAUAACUAAUAAGGUCAAUUGAUGUUUUCUCAAAUGAUUUUGAGUAAUCCAAUCAUAAGCAGUGAGUUUAUAGUAUUUGUUUUAUAUUAUAUUUUAAAAAAAAUUGUAUUAUUGAUAAAAUUUAUUAAAUGAUUUUUUAUAUGUUAAUUUUAGAGGUAAAAAAGAAAUUAGGGAAAAAAGGUUGAUUUAUACUGACUCGAAAUUAUUUUAUUGCACAAUAAUAAAUUACUAAUUUAUUUUGUAAGUUCUUCUAUAUGGAAAGACUCAAGAUUCUUUUACAAAUGCUAUACCUAAAAAAGUUUAUAUAAUCAUUAAUCUACCACAUUGAUCCCUUAGUCUAGACUAGCAAAGAUUAUUGUAUAAUAAAAGUUUUCAAAUUUAUUGAGCAUUAAUUUAUCAAAGUUAAAAAUAAGCUAUAGAUAAAAAAUCUAGAAAAUGGCUUCAUACCUUUUCCAACGGCAAUAGGGGCUGUUGUGCAGGAAUACCAAGUUGAUCAUUCCCAUUAUUCUGCGAUAAAUCUGCCGCGAAUAUCUUUAAUCUGUCACAACGAUACACUAAAAGAAUUUCUAGGGCGGGCCAUUCCGAAGUAUGCAUUCCAGGGUACAAACAUCUAAGUUUUGGUAGAUCAUGGAGUAUCAAAGUGGUGAGCUGUGGAAAGACAAAAUAAGGGAUCACUUGAUCUGCUCUGUUUUCAGAAAUGAUCUCCUGUAAAUCCUCACAGGAGCGUAUUUCUAGGCGUUGGAGCUGCUUAAGGCUUCCGAUCAUAGACGCUGAAAAUAUGUAUUUUAAUUUGUGACAACCCCACACAAUCAAU